rnacentral:rRNA from 1 species
GACGAACGCUGGCGGCGUGCUUAACACAUGCAAGUCGAACGGAAAGGCCCUGCUUUUGUGGGGUGCUCGAGUGGCGAACGGGUGAGUAACACGUGAGUAACCUGCCCUUGACUUUGGGAUAACCUCAGGAAACUGGGGCUAAUACCGGAUAGGAGCUCCUGCUGCAUGGUGGGGGUUGGAAAGUUUCGGCGGUUGGGGAUGGACUCGCGGCUUAUCAGCUUGUUGGUGGGGUAGUGGCUUACCAAGGCUUUGACGGGUAGCCGGCCUGAGAGGGUGACCGGCCACGUUGGGACUGAGAUACGGCCCAGACUCCUACGGGAGGCAGCGGUGGGGAAUAUUGCACAAUGGGCGGAAGCCUGAUGCAGCAACGCCGCGUGCGGGAUGACGGCCUUCGGGUUGGAAACCGCUUUCGCCUGUGACGAAGCGUGAGUGACGGUAAUGGGUAAAGAAGCACCGGCUAACUACGUG